UACGUAGGGGGCAAGCGUUAUCCGGAUUUACUGGGUGUAAAGGGAGCGUAGACGGAGUGGCAAGUCUGAAGUGAAAACCCUGGGCUUAACCUGGGGACUGCUUUGGAAACUGUUAAUCUAGAGUGUUGGAGAGGUAAGUGGAAUUCCUGGUGUAGCGGUGAAAUGCGUAGAUAUCAGGAAGAACACCGGAGGCGAAGGCGGCUUACUGGACGAUAACUGACGUUGAGGCUCGAAAGCGUGGGAAGCAAACAGG
rnacentral:rRNA from 1 species